UUAAGUUCAGCGGGUAUCCCUACCUGAUCCGAGGUCAAGAGCGAAAAUAUGGCCUUGAUGGACGCUGCAACGCGUGGCGAGGAGCGCAAAAUGUGCUGCGCUCACACACCAGAUUGCCGGCUGCCAAUGCAUUUGAGGCGAGUCCCGCGCAGAGCAGCGGAACAAACGCCCAACACCAAGCAGAGCUUGAGGGUACAAAU
rnacentral:misc_RNA from 1 species